GACUCGGUGGCGGAUGGUCCGCGUCUGCGCUUGUUGGAGGCCAUUAGCAAUCUCUUGAGCAGAAGGUGCCUGUUCGAAUCAGGCCCGAAUCA